AAAGGGAGGUAUAAUAUACUUUUACUUUUUCGAACUCCAGCGUUUCAAAUCAUAACUGUAAAAAUAGCAAUUGCUUUCUCUUUAUUUCUUAAGCAGAAUGGAAAAACCUCUUUCUGCGGAUCGGACCUAUCCAGUGACAUGCAUUUCCACCCUCAGUUGGCUCAGAUGUGACAAGCUGAGGAUUCCCAACAAAGUAAGCUGUAGAGGCCACCUGAAGAGGGAUAAUGAAAGUGAUUACAUCAGCAAAGAGCAAGGAACAAUCCAGAUGGCAGCAGCAUCACAAAGUACAGAAAAAAUGAGCACGUGCAGCCCGUUAAGAGUUUCUGGAGAUUCCAGUUGGAGAGGCCUAAUGCAGAUUUCCUAUAGGAGCUUUCUCACCACAGAAAGAGACAAAACAAACAGUGAUUGUUAA
rnacentral:lncRNA from 1 species